rnacentral:rRNA from 1 species
CCUACGGGAGGCAGCAGUGGGGAAUAUUGGGCAAUGGGCGCAAGCCUGACCCAGCAACGCCGCGUGAAGGAAGAAGGCUUUCGGGUUGUAAACUUCUUUUGACAGGGAAGUGUAGAAGACGGUACCUGUCGAAUAAGCCACGGCUAACUACGUGCCAGCAGCCGCGGUAAUACGUAGGUCGCAAGCGUUGUCCGGAUUUACUGGGUGUAAAGGGCGUGUAGCCGGGUUGACAAGUCAGAUGUGAAAUCCUGCGGCUUAACCGCAGAACUGCAGUUGAAACUGUGGAUCUUGAGUACUGGAGAGGCAGACGGAAUUCGUAGUGUAGCGGUGAAAUGCGUAGAUAUUAGGCGGAACAUCAGUGGCGAAGGCGACUAUCUGGGACAUAACUGACGCUGAGGAGCGAAAGCGUGGGUAGCAAACAGGAUUAGAUACCCCUGUAGUC